AACGAACGCUGGCGGCAUGCCUAACACAUGCAAGUCGAACGAGACCUUCGGGUCUAGUGGCGCACGGGUGCGUAACGCGUGGGAACCUGCCCUUAGGUUCGGAAUAACUCCCCGAAAGGGGUGCUAAUACCGGAUAAGGUCUUCGGACCAAAGAUUUAUCGCCUUUGGAUGGGCCCGCGUUGGAUUAGCUAGUUGGUAGGGUAAAAGCCUACCAAGGCGACGAUCCAUAGCUGGUCUGAGAGGAUGAUCAGCCACACUGGGACUGAGACACGGCCCAGACUCCUACGGGAGGCAGCAGUGGGGAAUAUUGGACAAUGGGCGAAAGCCCGAUCCAGUAAUGCCGCGUGAGUGAUGAAGGCCUUAGGGUUGUAAAGCUCUUUUACCCGGGAUGAUAAUGACAGUACCGGGAGAAUAAGCUCCGGCUAACUCCGUG
rnacentral:rRNA from 1 species